rnacentral:rRNA from 1 species
UACGUAGGGUGCGAGCGUUGUCCGGAAUUAUUGGGCGUAAAGAGCUCGUAGGCGGUGUGUCACGUCGAUCGUGAAAACUUUCAGCUUAACUGGGAGCUUGCGGUCGAUACGGGCAUCACUGGAGUUCGGCAGGGAGACUGGAAUUCAAGGUGUAGCGGUGAAAUGCGCAGAUAUCUUGAGGAACACCGGUGGCGAAGGCGGGUCUCUGGGCCGAUACUGACGCUGAGGAGCGAAAGCGUGGGGAGCGAACAGG